rnacentral:misc_RNA from 1 species
AAGUCGUAACAAGGUUUCCGUAGGUGAACCUGCGGAAGGAUCAUUAACACGUAUCCAAACGUUAAACCCCCCUGUGAACCUUCACCUGUACUCGUACGUCCGUUAGAAAAAGCAGCAAUCCCUGGUAAAUCAUCGCCGAACAGUUUUCGAUUCAGGGACGUCUGCAAGGAGCGUGCAUGUUGUGCGAAGCAAGUGGCCUGGCAUCCCCAAGCAGUUAGUGUCUGAAAGUGUCACUAACAUGUGUAAGGAUGACGCAGUCACGAUCGUUGGAGGCCCACACGGCCGACGACCGGGUCACCGGGUGCAAGCCCCCUUAUCACACCCCUGCUCUAUCUAUGGUGAUCCUGCGGGAAGUCCUGCGGUCGAACGCCGAAACCGAACAACUGUUAACAAUGGAUAUCUUGGUUCUC